ACGAACGCUGGCGGCAUGCCUAACACAUGCAAGUCGAACGAAGCCUUCGGGCUUAGUGGCGCACGGGUGCGUAACGCGUGGGAAUCUGCCCUUGGGUUCGGAAUAACCAGGAGAAAUCCUGGCUAAUAUCGGAUGAUGACGUAAGUCCAAAGAUUUAUCGCCCAGGGAUGAGCCCGCGUAAGAUUAGCUAGUUGGUGAGGUAAAGGCUCACCAAGGCGACGAUCUUUAGCUGGUCUGAGAGGAUGAUCAGCCACACUGGGACUGAGACACGGCCCAGACUCCUACGGGAGGCAGCAGUGGGGAAUAUUGGACAAUGGGCGAAAGCCUGAUCCAGCAAUGCCGCGUGAGUGAUGAAGGCCUUAGGGUUGUAAAGCUCUUUUACCCGGGAUGAUAAUGACAGUACCGGGAGAAUAAGCUCCGGCUAACUCCGU
rnacentral:rRNA from 1 species